AUUGAACGCUAGCGGGAUGCUUUACACAUGCAAGUCGAACGAUUGGCGGACGGGUGAGUAAUAUAUCGGACCGUGCCCAGUAGCGGGGGAUAACUACUCGAAAGAGUGGCUAAUACCGCAUACCAUCGGUGUGGCCCAUAUCGGAUUAGCUAGUUGGAGGGGUAAAGGCUCACCAAGGCAACGAUCCCGAGCUGGUUUGAGAGGACGACCAGCCACACUGGGACUGAGACACGGCCCAGACUCCAACGGGAGGCAGCAGUGGGGAAUUUUGGACAAUGGGGGAAACCCUGAUCCAGCCAUCCCGCGUGUAUGAGAAGGCCUUCGGGUUGUAAAGUACUUUUGGCAGAGAAGCGGUAUCUGCAGAAUAAGCACCGGCUAACUACGUGCCAGCAGCCGCGGUAAUUC
rnacentral:rRNA from 1 species